UUGCUCAAAAGCUCAUUUGGAAAAAAAAGAGGAUUUGGAAAAAGAAAAGAAAAAAAGAAGCCAGCGCUGCCGCAGCAGGUGGCCCAGCCUUCCCCGCGGCCCAGCCCUCCUACGCGCAGUCGGCAGCAGCGGCCCAACUCUGGCCCAGCCGCACGCCUCCCUCCCCUUCCCUUUCCUUUGACCCGCUGACAGCUGGGACCACCCCUUUCUCUCGCUAACGGGUGGGACCCACUGCGGGACAGCGCCUUCUCCUUCCUCGCCUCGCA
rnacentral:lncRNA from 1 species